rnacentral:rRNA from 1 species
CCUACGGGUGGCUGCAGUGGGGAAUAUUGCACAAUGGGGGAAACCCUGAUGCAGCGACGCCGCGUGAGUGAAGAAGUAUCUCGGUAUGUAAAGCUCCAUCAGCCGGGAAGAAAUAAAGUCCUUCGGUCUUUGGACGGUACCUGACGAAGAAGCACCGGCUACAUACGUGCCAGCAGCCGCGGGGAUAAGUCGGGGGCAAGGGUUAUCCGGAUUUACUGGGGGGAAAGGGAGCGUAGGCGGCAGCGCAAGUCUGGAGGGAAAACCCAUGGCUUAACCAUGGAACGGCCUUGGAAACUGUGCAUCUAGAGUGGAGGAGAGGUAAGCGGAAUUCGUGGUGUAGCGGUGAAAUGCGUAGAUAUUAGGAGGAACACCAGUGGCGAAGGCGGCUUACUGGACUGUAACUGACGCUGAGGCUCGAAAGCGUGGGGAUCGAACAGGAUUAGAUACCCGGGUAGUC